rnacentral:rRNA from 1 species
GACGAACGCUGGCGGCGUGCUUAACACAUGCAAGUCGAACGGAAAGGCCCUGCUUUUGUGGGGUGCUCGAGUGGCGAACGGGUGAGUAACACGUGAGUAACCUGCCCUUGACUUUGGGAUAACUUCAGGAAACUGGGGCUAAUACCGGAUAGGAGCUCCUGCUGCAUGGUGGGGGUUGGAAAGUUUCGGCGGUUGGGGAUGGACUCGCGGCUUAUCAGCUUGUUGGUGGGGUAGUGGCUUACCAAGGCUUUGACGGGUGGCCGGCCUAAGAGGGUGACCGGCCACAUUGGGACUGAGAGACGGCGCAGACUCCUACGGGAGGCAGCAGUGGGGAAUAUUGCACAAUGGGCGGAAGCCUGAUGCAGCAACGCCGCGUGUGGGAUGACGGCCUUCGGGUUGUAAACCGCUUUCGCCUGUGACGAAGCGUGAGUGACGGUAAUGGGUAAAGAAGCACCGGCUAACUACGUG